AAGACACUUUGUUUGAAUCAGUGGCUGGUUGCACUAGGCUUUGAGGACAGAAACCUUGAAGAUAUGGAGAUGGUUGGCUCAUCUCCAGUAUGAGUUGGGGUUGGGUUACUAAUUUCAGCCGAGUGCUGCUGUAGCCAAUUCAAUCGCCUAAGCUCGACUUGCAAGUAUAUCCGUUCAGAAGGGUCUCCAGAACUUGUACGGCGAUUGGGAGUACCUUCCUUCGAUGAAACAUCACCACCAGAGCAUCUUUUCCCGAAACUAAUGGAGUUUCAUUGGAACAAUUGUCUUCACAUUCCGGACCUUAUGAAGUUUUGCCUGUUGGCUGUGUUGCUUGAUGCUAGAGGAAGCAGCCUUUUCUAUUUAGAAUGAUAUUUGGUCUUCAAAGAUGUUUCACUGUUGGUCUGUAUUGCUUGGAAGAGACAUGACCAAUUUGUCAAUCGACUUCUGAACAUUUUCAAGCUGCUCCUCAACCUCUGCAAUGUUACUUCCUUGGCAUUCAGAGUGGUCAUGGCGUCUUCCCACCGAAUAAUAAACUGGUUGGAAGAGCAUCCAGAACUCAGGGAACAUGUGAAAAAUCAAGAGGAUCGAGCCAAUUGUUGGGCUAUUGUGGUAGCUAGGGCCAUAGGAGCGCGGCAUACUAUCCACAAAAGGGUAAAGGCGUUACGAUGGCUCCUAUCUGCCCAAUACCUGAUGGAAAAUUUUUGGCACGAUCGAUCUUCAGAUAUACAAAAUGGCAGUAAUGGAAGAGAAGCGCGAGAUCCCUACGGCAAUUAUCCAUUAAAUGCUCAAUUUGCCUUGGAGUAUGUCACACAAAAAGGCAUGCCCUACGAAGAGGAUUAUCCUUACACCGGAUCUUUUGAUCGCAGUGAACCAAUAAAGGACACCUCAAAGUUGAACAAGGUUUAUAUUAGCAGUUUCUCAUUCUUGGGAUGUACGAGUGAUGGCGAGGCAACAAAAGAAGCUAUUUACCAGGCUCUUUUGAAUGGAGGUCCCCUAAUUGGAACGGUUGAACCAACCAGAUUAUUUUUCAAUCUUAAGGGUGGGAUCUUACGACCCGAGGAUGACAGCGUAAGUAGUUACAACCCGAGCAACGGUGAUUCUACGAGUGAAGGCGAGGCUGACGAGGCCGAGGAGGAGGCUGACGAGGCCGAGGAGGAGGCUGACGAGGCCGAUGAGGAGGGCGAUGAGGCCGAUGAGGAGGGCGAUAAGGCCGAUGAGGAGGGUGAUGAGGCCGAGGAGGAGGGCGAUGAGGCCGAGGAGGAGGGCGAUAAGGCUGAUGAAGAGGGCGAUGAGGCUGGCAGCCCCAAGUCUCAAAGUCACAACAUUGACAAUGUUGGAACUGGCGCAGACAUCCUCGAGUCCGAAAGUCACAAUAGUGACGAUCCGGGAAUUAUAUCACAUCUGAUUUUAGUUGUAGGCAUGGAUUUUGAGCGAAAUACAUUUCUUGUUCAGAACAGCCUUGGACGAAAAUGGGGUAUUGAUGGAGUUGGAACAAUGGACUGUGAGCUCGUAUAUGAUAUACUAGACAUAGAUAUCAAUGAUGAUAGGAAUCGGGGUUUCGUUGGGCCAACUUCAUCAUCUUCGCAUAAGCAACAAAGGGAGCUGAAGAGGUUAGGGAGAAGAACUAUUUCAGGACAAUGUCUCCCCCAAAAGACUCCAGAGAGAGAUUUUCGAAUAAGAAUUUCAGGGCUUGAGAUCUAUAAUGAAAAUGUAAAAGACUUGUUAAAUUCUGAUUCUGGGCAUAAUGCAAAGCUUCUAGAUGAUCCAGAGAAAGGAACUGUUGUAGAGAAAUUGGUAGAAGAAACAGCAAAUGAUGACCAACAUUUAAAAAGUUUGAUCAGAAUUUUUGAGGCACAAAGACAAGUAGGUGAAACUGCCCCAAAUGAUACUAGCUCAAGGUCUCACCAGAUAAUAAGGCUGACAAUUGAAAGCACACUCCGUGAAAAUUCAAACUGUGUGAGGUCUUAUGUUGCUAGAUUGAACUUUGUAGAUUUAGCCGGAAGUGAAAGAGCGUCACAAACAAAUCCAGAUGGGGUUAGGCUCAGAGAAGGAUGCCAUAUUAACCUCAGUUUGAUGACUCUUACAACUGUUAUCAGGAAGCUCAGUGUUGGAAAAAGAAGCGGUCAUAUACCAUAUCGAGACUCAAAGCUCACACUCACAUUACAGCACUCACUUGGUGAUAAUGCACGCACUGCCAUCAUAUGCACGUUAAGUCCUGUGUCUGGCCAUGUGGAGCAAUCCCGAAAUACACUUUUCUUUGCUACCCGAGCCAAGGAAGUGACAAAUAAUGCCCAAGUAAACAUGGUUAUAUCUGACAAGCAGCUGAUUAAGCAUCUACAGAAGGAAGUAGCUAGAUUAGAAGCAGCACGCACACCAGAUCCAUUAAGUGAAAAAGAUUACAAAAUUCAGCAGAUGGAGAAAGAAAUUGAGGAACUGAGGAUUCAAAGAGAUCUUGCGCAGUCUCAGGUUGAUGAGUUGCGACGAAAACUUCAAGAACCACAGGUUUUACAGCCGACCGAGUCCCGCAGUCCAAACGUGUUGCCAAGCUGCAAUACCAAAAGCAAUUACUUGUCUGCCAGGUGCUUGAGCUGGAGGCAAAUGAAGCAGCAGGGUAUGACUGGGAGAAUGAGAACAUGCCUGAAAUACAAGAGUCUCCAAUAUCAUGGACUGUUACUUUUAGGGAACAAAGGCAGGAGAUCAUUGAGAUAUACUUGGAAGUCGAGCUUAAGCGAUUGAAUUGGCUACAGCAGCACUUGGCUAAAAUUGGUAACACAACCCCAGCUCAUACUGGAGAUGAGCCAACCAUCACCUCUUAAAGCAUUAAAGCGUGAACGGGAAUUUCUUGCCAAGAGAUUAUCUUCGAAUUGGGAUCAUGGAUAUGGAUGGAUGUGCUCGUGUUAUUUGGACUUAAAAAAAGUGUGAUUUUUAAGUUUCUUUACUUUAUAUUCAUUAUCUUCUUCUAUUA